ACAUGCCUACAACAUAGCAUUAAUGCACUGGAUCCCAUUGGAACUCUGUAAUUAAGCGCACUCAAGCUAGAGUAGUACUAGGAUGGGUGACCUCCCAAGAAGUCCUAGUGUUUUACAUGCC
rfam:Picea glauca, whole genome shotgun sequence.